UACGGAGGGUGCAAACGUUGCUCGGAAUCAUUGGGCGUAAAGCGCACGUAGGCGGCCUGGUAAGUCGGAUGUGAAAUCCCUCGGCUCAACCGAGGAAGUGCAUUCGAAACUGCCAGGCUUGAAUAUGGAAGAGGGUCGCGGAAUUCCCGGUGUAGAGGUGAAAUUCGUAGAUAUCGGGAGGAACACCAGUGGCGAAGGCGGCGACCUGGGCCAAUAUUGACGCUGAGGUGCGAAAGCGUGGGGAGCAAACAGG
rnacentral:rRNA from 1 species